GAAGAAGCCAAGAGUACGCCUAAAAAAGAAAAGCUCCAAGAAAUCUGUAGAGACGGAGACCAAAACAGCAAUGGCAAUAGCAUCUCAUCUCAUCAAUCUCACGCCUCUUCCUCUCAAAUCUUCUAGCGCUUUCUCUCCUCUCUGCAAUCUCCCCACAUGUUCGUUUCCACUUAAUGAUACCGGCGUCAAAACCAGCAGAAGCAAGAUCCUUGGCAUCAAUGGCUCAUCAAGACGUGGACCCAUCUCUUUUCGAGUCAUGGCUUCUUCGUUCGGGUCCAGGCUCGAAGAUUCAGUCAAGAAGACCGUGGCUGAGAA
rnacentral:misc_RNA from 1 species